GACGAACGCUGGCGGCGUGCUUAACACAUGCAAGUCGAACGGAAAGGCCCUGCUUUUGUGGGGUGCUCGAGCGGCGAACGGGUGAGUAACACGUGAGUAACCUGCCCUUGACUUUGGGAUAACUUCAGGAAACUGGGGCUAAUACCGGAUAGGAGCUCCUGCUGCAUGGUGGGGGUUGGAAAGUUUCGGCGGUUGGGGAUGGACUCGCGGCUUAUCAGCUUGUUGGUGGGGUAGUGGCUUACCAAGGCUUUGACGGGUAGCCGGCCUGAGAGGGUGACCGGCCACAUUGGGACUGAGAUACGGCCCAGACUCCUACGGGAGGCAGCAGUGGGGAAUAUUGCACAAUGGGCGGAAGCCUGAUGCAGCAACGCCGCGUGCGGGAUGACGGCCUUCGGGUUGUAAACCGCUUUCGCCUGUGACGAAGCGUGAGCGACGGUAAUGGGUAAAGAAGCACCGGCUAACUACGUG
rnacentral:rRNA from 1 species